CUGUCACAACGGCUUCCUGACGUGACGGUCCGUAUGGAAUGGAGCA
rnacentral:ncRNA from 1 species